rnacentral:rRNA from 1 species
UUCUGAAUGUUGACCUCGAAUCAGGUAGGAAUACCCGCUGAACUUAAGCAUAU